GUACACUCCUGCGGGAGGCAGCAGUGGGGAAUAUUGGACAAUGGGCGCAAGCCUGAUCCAGCCAUGCCGCGUGAGUGAUGAAGGCCCUAGGGUUGUAAAGCUCUUUCACCGGUGAAGAUAAUGACGGUAACCGGAGAAGAAGCCCCGGCUAACUUCGUGCCAGCAGCCGCGGUAAUACGAAGGGGGCUAGCGUUGUUCGGCUUUACUGGGCGUAAAGCGCACGUAGGCGGACUAUUAAGUCAGGGGUGAAAUCCCGGGGCUCAACCCCGGAACUGCCUUUGAUACUGGUAGUCUUGAGUUCGAGAGAGGUGAGUGGAAUUCCGAGUGUAGAGGUGAAAUUCGUAGAUAUUCGGAGGAACACCAGUGGCGAAGGCGGCUCACUGGCUCGAUACUGACGCUGAGGUGCGAAAGCGUGGGGAGCAAACAUGAUUAGAAACCCUUGUAGUCC
rnacentral:rRNA from 1 species